rnacentral:rRNA from 1 species
CCUACGGGAGGCAGCAGUGGGGAAUAUUGGACAAUGGGCGAAAGCCUGAUCCAGCCAUGCCGCGUGUGUGAAGAAGGCCUUCGGGUUGUAAAGCACUUUCAGUGGGGAAGAAAGCCUUGGGGCUAAUACCCUCGAGGAAGGACAUCACCCACAGAAGAAGCACCGGCUAACUCCGUGCCAGCAGCCGCGGUAAUACGGAGGGUGCGAGCGUUAAUCGGAAUUACUGGGCGUAAAGCGCGCGUAGGCGGUCUGAUAAGCCGGUUGUGAAAGCCCCGGGCUCAACCUGGGAACGGCAUCCGGAACUGUCAGGCUAGAGUGCGGGAGAGGAAGGUAGAAUUCCCGGUGUAGCGGUGAAAUGCGUAGAGAUCGGGAGGAAUACCAGUGGCGAAGGCAGUCUUCUGGACUGACACUGACGCUGAGGUACGAAAGCGUGGGUAGCAAACAGGAUUAGAUACCCGGGUAGUC